AACUCUAAGCGGUGGAUCACUCGGCUCAUG
rnacentral:ncRNA from 6 species